AAAUGUUGAUUUAUCAACUAUAGCGAUAAAUGCUUUAUGCAAUAGGUUGUGCGGACCCGGGGGCGGUACCCGGCGCCUCCACCAUUAACUAUGGGGGCGAAAUAGGUUUGACGUUAACUAAAAGAUAAAGAUUUUGCUCGGCAUUGUACCGCCGUUAUCGGGCUAUUUUAUAGUUGCAAAUAACGACUAUGCAGAGUUACCUCUCGCUGCUUAAGCGCGAGCGCUCAAAUUAACUCCUAAUUAGUUGCAUAAUUAGGCGGGGCUUGAGAGGCGCCUGGCAACAGAAGCUUCUCGCU
rnacentral:tmRNA from 1 species